ACAAUGAAUGAAUCAGAUGAUGAAACUCCUGCCCUUGAUACUCAAGUAUUCUCUCCUAAUCUGACAAAAGAGAAAGAAACAGAAACGUCUACCGGUGAGAGGCCAUCCAAUCCUAAUCAAGAUGGAAAACCAGAUGAUGAGGUAAUAUUUAUUCUAGAAAUUAUAGUUGAAUGUAUUCAUGAUGGCCAUUCCUGAUAUUUUUUUGCAGAUUGUGAGAGAGAAAUUAACAAGUGAGUCACCUGCUAGUCAGAGUCAAGUUUUGCAGAAAGAAACAGUAGAAAUGAAUGAGACACCUUCUUCUCCAAUAGCUCCAAAGAGUAUUGAAACUCCCGUUUAUACUCCAAGUCAGACUCAGCAGAUUGAGAGAGAGCCAUCGGAUGACACGCCUGCCCUUGAUACUCAAGUUUUUACUCCUAAUCUGACAAAAGAGAGGGAAACACAAACCUCUACU